AGAUGAGGUACGAUCGUGGUCUUCUUGGGUCUCUUGUUGCAUCACUUCUGUUUUGCUUGGCUUUCUCAAAAAGGGAUGCACAAAACUGCAAGCAGUGCGCAGGUGAAAGCUGGGCUGGUUGCAAUGGAACAGAAAAAAUAUGUGUUGCGCAACAGAAGUGUGUUUCAGUUGCAUCCGAGUCAAUAGAAAAUGUCUUGGAAGAUAAAGACGAAGUAAAGAAAAUCACCAAAAAAGUUGCACGGAAUUGCGCAAGUCCUGACUUUUGUGAUGCAGAUUUAUCCAUGAACUUCAAAUAUGCUGUAUGGAAGAUAAGGACAACAUGCUUGAGUGAUCAAGUACACAUCACAGUGGCAGAGGAGGCUCCUGCGAAUGGCCGCAAGUGCAUCGGCUGCAUUGCUGCAC